rnacentral:tRNA from 1 species
GCCGAAAUAGCUCAAUUGGUAGAGCAACUGACUUGUAAUCAGUAGGUUGCGGGUUCAAUUCCUGUUUUCGGCA